GACCAAUGAGAUCUUCAGGAGUACUUCAGCAGCUGUUUCGGAUUUUUCUCUGUGGAUGUCCUCAUGGGACUAAGUGGAAAUUGGAAAAGUAUCAUCAAACUCUUCUUGAGAUUCCUUUUUGAUAAGACUGCCCUGCUGGGAAAAUGCACUGACCAGUCAUCAGCAAAUUCUAGCCCAUUCAGCAGGUUGAAAAGCUACUGACCAGGAAGGUCAUUUCCAGCAUUUCCCAUAGCUUCAAGAUUACUAGUACAGACGCAGAAG